CCUACGGGGGGCAGCAGUGGGGAAUAUUGGACAAUGGGCGAAAGCCUGAUCCAGCCAUGCCGCGUGUGUGAAGAAGGCCUUCGGGUUGUAAAGCACUUUCAGUGGGGAAGAAAGCCUUGGGGCUAAUACCCUCGAGGAAGGACAUCACCCACAGAAGAAGCACCGGCUAACUCCGUGCCAGCAGCCGCGGUAAUACGGAGGGUGCGAGCGUUAAUCGGAAUUACUGGGCGUAAAGCGCGCGUAGGCGGUCUGAUAAGCCGGUUGUGAAAGCCCCGGGCUCAACCUGGGAACGGCAUCCGGAACUGUCAGGCUAGAGUGCAGGAGAGGAAGGUAGAAUUCCCGGUGUAGCGGUGAAAUGCGUAGAGAUCGGGAGGAAUACCAGUGGCGAAGGCGGCCUUCUGGACUGACACUGACGCUGAGGUGCGAAAGCGUGGGUAGCAAACAGGAUUAGAUACCCCUUGUAGUC
rnacentral:rRNA from 1 species